CACCCAGGGUGAAGAGGACCCUCCUACCACCAGACGGGAGCCCCCCCACUGCCGAGACUCCCAAAGGAAGAGGACCAACAGGACGCCGCUGGAUCCACGGGGUGGUGGUCUGACCAAGAUGCACCUACUACUCUGGACCAUCCUGAUUCAAGGAUGCAUCCACGAGGGCAACGAACGACCACUCCCUCUACCUUCCCCCAACUCAUUUAAUCUCUUCGAGAACAACGAGUUCGUGUUGCUGGUGAAAGCAGUAAGCCAAACUUUCAAUUUAAGCCACUGCUGGGUUUGCGGAGGACCGCUAGGGUUAUCAAGCUGGCCGUGGACAUCCACAUCCCUCACCCCAGACCAGAUCGUAAGCAAUUACAGCGAAACCGUGGACGACAUGUGGGACGACAGUGGGACCUGGCCAAUUCAGUUUCCAGCCAUGGAGCAAUAUUGUUUAAUUCGUACCCAGGAGGGAGGGAUCGAAGUGGGGGAAAGUAAAUGUCGAUGGACACUCACUCAUAAGCCGCUCGACAAAAACAGGAAUCUCCACCUAUGGAUGUGGCUCAAUGAAACGGGGUGUCAUCGGGGACUUGAGGGAUACUGGUCAAACAAAAACAAAACUUUAACUCUCCAACGACCCAAUUAUCCCCCUUACAAGCAAACCUGCAAAUGGGAAGGCACUUCUGGGGCUUGGUAUUAUACCAGCCAAAUAGGUGAUGGGGCAACCACAUUUUUCAGCCCUCUGGGUGACAGAGACACAACUUACUUUCAAUUCCCACCAGGGAUAAACGGGCCAUUUGCUCAGGGCAUUGGAGCUAAGAAGGGGCAUUAUUGGAUCUGCAGACACACAGCAUAUAAAUUUUUACCCGCGGGGUGGUCGGGAAUUUGUUAUACGGGGAUUAUCAGACCUUUGUUUUUCCUUUUACCAGAAACAGGCGGACCUUGGUUAGGCAUAAAAGUAUAUGAUAACCUCGGAGACAGAAGGGUUGCCCGUAAGACGCGAUCCAUUAAGGUAGAUUUGGGUGAGAUGCAAAAAUGGGCAAAUAAUGAGUGGCCUCCUGAACGAAUAGUUCAACAUUACGGGCCUGCAACCUGGAAUCCUAAUGAACUAAUAUCGGGGGCAAGAGAACCAAUUUACAACCUAAAAGUGGCUCUAGAAAUUAUUACCAACAAAACCGCUGAUGCAAAAGAUCUUUUAACUCUGCAGUCCCAACAGAUGCGCACGGCAAUCCUUCAGCACCGCAUGGUUUUAGACUAUCUGUUAGCUGAAGAGGGAGAGGUGUGUGGGAAAUUAAAUAUUUCCAACUGUUGUUUAGAAAUAGAUGAUGUAGGGGAGGUAGUUCUCCAGUUAACCAAAGAUAUCAGAAAAAUAGCCCAUGUCCCCGUCCAAACCUGGAACGGCUGGAGUGGCAAUUUGUGGUCCUGGUUACCGGGGGCACCGUGGGUGAAACAGUUAAUAUUGUAUUUGUUAGGUGCAGUUGCCGCUUUAAUGUUUUUACCUUGUACAAUUCCUUGCUUUGUUCAAUUAAUCCGACAUGCAAUUUGUUCCUACCACCUCACCCGACGGCAUAAAGAAAAUCCGUGCCAUCUAUUGGCCACAGCCAACCACAGUACCCAUCAUUUAAACCCAUUCCCAGUUUACCCUGAAGGAGGAAAUUGCAUAUUGACAUCCAUACCGCAUUUGCCAGCUGUUAUACCUGUUGUAACAAUCACUUACCUUCGUUAACUCAAUUUUGAUGUGUGUUCUGUGAAGUUAAAAGUUGCUAAAAUUGUUAAAGCAUGAGCUUGCAUUGGGCAACACCUCUGUGUAACCACUGUUAAGCACCUUUUACCUGAACCUGUAUCGUUCCUUUUACUCUUCCCAUGACUUGUUCUACCCUUUCUAUACUUCUUUCUGAUAUCUCUCUCUCUAUCUCAUAUCACCACUGUGGAUGAAGACUUCAGGAAGGAGACGUACCAAUCAAUGUUUAAGUCACGGGGUGGUGUGGCGGACAGAUGAAUGAAUUUUUUGCCUUAAACAUUUCUUGGUGCAUGGGGUGCAGGCAGGCCAUAACCCCGAACAAGCCAUCUGUCCCUGGCGGAAACAGGACUGGGCUGCUGCGACCCCCGAGAUGGUCUCCCUGCGACCACCCGGAACACACCGAGCCUGCACUGAACGAGACCACAGUCGGGCAGAGACUUUGGGAUCUGUUUUUAGCACAACUUCUAUAAAACUUGCUUGGCAUGAGUGGCUAAAUUUGCUGAAGCCUUAGGCCGCACUCCCUAGUUUGGUGAGAAAGGGCCCCAGAGCUGGUGCAGGCGGGAAUGAUAAGGGAGUUACCAGCAAUUUGCAUUCCUGUGCACUGCUGAAACAGUGCUAAUUGCUGGAGUUACCACCUCUUUGUCAAGACCUUGAGAGAUGAUGGUGGGACCCGAGGAAGGAAGACACACCUAUAGGAAGGAAGACACACCUGUCUGCAGAAACUGCAACAGAAAAGAUAAGGGAGAAAAGAAACAGCCUGCCUAGGAACAACGAUGAGAUCCAAUAAGGAGCAGGAGACCCCAGACUCAAAAAUUACUAUUGGUCUGAACUACCACGUGGGGGGGUGGGAAACUUAAUUUGAAAAAGCUAUAAUUGCCCAGGGACCUCUUUGUUCAGGGUCCCUCUUUGGAGGUACCCAGCUCGAGCUGUAACCACUGCACGCGUGUCAUUCUGAGCUAACCUAGGGUCGGACCCAACUCGAGUUGUAAUUACUGCACGCGCACCACCAAAACUUACACCCAGGGUGAAGAGGAGCCACCUACCACCAGACGGGAGCCCCCCCCACUGCCGAGACUCCCAAAGGAAGAGGACCAACAGGACGCCGCUGGAUCCACGGGUGGUGAUAUCUUUCUCUCUCUCUCUCUCUCUCUUUCCCCUUCUCUUUUGUUGAAUGUUGGUAAGAUCUGUUUUGUCUAGCUAGUUGCAGUAUUCACCAUUGAAUUAUCCUAUUUGACCACAUGCCUUAUCUUUGUGUUAAUAAAUCUUAAAACUGGU